rnacentral:miRNA from 10 species
ACAAGUAAGGAUCUCAGGAGCC